rnacentral:rRNA from 1 species
CGUUAGCGGCGGACGGGUGAGUAACACGUGGGUAACCUACCUAUAAGACUGGGACAACUUCGGGAAACCGGAGCUAAUACCGGAUAAGAUAUCGAACCGCAUGGUUCGAUAGUGAAAGAUGGUUUUGCUAUCACUUAUAGAUGGACCCGCGCCGUAUUAGCUAGUUGGUGAGGUAACGGCUCACCAAGGCAACGAUACGUAGCCGACCUGAGAGGGUGAUCGGCCACACUGGAACUGAGACACGGUCCAGACUCCUACGGGAGGCAGCAGUU